rnacentral:rRNA from 1 species
GCUAAACCAUGCACCGAAGCUGCGGCAGCGACGCUGAUGCGUUGUUGGGUAGGGGAGCGUUCUGUAAGCCUGCGAAGGUGGCCUGUGAGGGUUGCUGGAGGUAUCAGAAGUGCGAAUGCUGACAUAAGUAACGAUAAAGCGGGUGAAAAGCCCGCUCGCCGGAAGACCAAGGGUUCCUGUCCAACGUUAAUCGGGGCAGGGUGAGUCGACCCCUAAGGCGAGGCCGAAAGGCGUAGUCGAUGGGAAACGGGUUAAUAUUCCCGUACUUGGUGUUACUGCGAAGGGGGGACGGAGAAGGCUAUGUUGGCCGGGCGACGGUUGUCCCGGUUUAAGCGUGUAGGUGUGUGUUCCAGGUAAAUCCGGUUCACUUUAACACUGAGGCGUGAUGACGAGGCACUACGGUGCUGAAGCAACAAAUGCCCUGCUUCCAGGAAAAGCCUCUAAGCAUCAGGUAACAUCAAAUCGUACCCCAAACCGACACAGGUGGUCAGGUAGAGAAUACCAAGGCGCUUGAGAGAACUCGGGUGAAGGAACUAGGCAAAAUGGUGCCGUAACUUCGGGAGAAGGCACGCUGACACGUAGGUGAAGUGAUUUACUCAUGGAGCUGAAGUCAGUCGAAGAUACCAGCUGGCUGCAACUGUUUAUUAAAAACACAGCACUGUGCAAACACGAAAGUGGACGUAUACGGUGUGACGCCUGCCCGGUGCCGGAAGGUUAAUUGAUGGGGUCAGCGCAAGCGAAGCUCCUGAUCGAAGCCCCGGUAAACGGCGGCCGUAACUAUAACGGUCCUAAGGUAGCGAAAUUCCUUGUCGGGUAAGUUCCGACCUGCACGAAUGGCGUAAUGAUGGCCAGGCUGUCUCCACCCGAGACUCAGUGAAAUUGAACUCGCUGUGAAGAUGCAGUGUACCCGCGGCAAGACGGAAAGACCCCGUGAACCUUUACUAUAGCUUGACACUGAACAUUGAGCCUUGAUGUGUAGGAUAGGUGGGAGGCUUUGAAGUGUGGACGCCAGUCUGCAUGGAGCCGACCUUGAAAUACCACCCUUUAAUGUUUGAUGUUCUAACGUGGACCCGUGAUCCGGGUUGCGGACAGUGUCUGGUGGGUAGUUUGACUGGGGCGGUCUCCUCCUAAAGAGUAACGGAGGAGCACGAAGGUUGGCUAAUCCUGGUCGGACAUCAGGAGGUUAGUGCAAUGGCAUAAGCCAGCUUGACUGCGAGCGUGACGGCGCGAGCAGGUGCGAAAGCAGGUCAUAGUGAUCCGGUGGUUCUGAAUGGAAGGGCCAUCGCUCAACGGAUAAAAGGUACUCCGGGGAUAACAGGCUGAUACCGCCCAAGAGUUCAUAUCGACGGCGGUGUUUGGCACCUCGAUGUCGGCUCAUCACAUCCUGGGGCUGAAGUAGGUCCCAAGGGUAUGGCUGUUCGCCAUUUAAAGUGGUACGCGAGCUGGGUUUAGAACGUCGUGAGACAGUUCGGUCCCUAUCUGCCGUGGGCGCUGGAGAACUGAGGGGGGCUGCUCCUAGUACGAGAGGACCGGAGUGGACGCAUCACUGGUGUUCGGGUUGUCAUGCCAAUGGCACUGCCCGGUAGCUAAAUGCGGAAGAGAUAAGUGCUGAAAGCAUCUAAGCACGAAACUUGCCCCGAGAUGAGUUCUCCCUGAGACUUUAGGUCUCCUGAAGGAACGUUGAAGACGACGACGUUGAUAGGCCGGGUGUGUAAGCGCAGCGAUGCGUUGAGCUAACCGGUACUAAUGAACCGUGAGGCUUAACCUUACA